rnacentral:rRNA from 1 species
AUUGAACGCUGGCGGCAUGCCUUACACAUGCAAGUCGAACGGUAAUAGGUCUUCGGAUGCUGACGAGUGGCGAACGGGUGAGUAAUACAUCGGAACGUGCCUAGUAGUGGGGGAUAACUACUCGAAAGAGUGGCUAAUACCGCAUGAGAUCUACGGAUGAAAGCAGGGGAUCGCAAGACCUUGUGCUACUAGAGCGGCCGAUGGCAGAUUAGGUAGUUGGUGGGAUAAAAGCUUACCAAGCCGACGAUCUGUAGCUGGUCUGAGAGGACGAUCGGCCACACUGGGACUGAGACACGGCCCAGACUCCCACGGGAGGCAGCAGUGGGGAAUUUUGGACAAUGGGCGAAAGCCUGAUCCAGCAAUGCCGCGUGCAGGAUGAAGGCCUUCGGGUUGUAAACUGCUUUUGUACGGAACGAAAAGCUCUGGGUUAAUACCCUGGGGUCAUGACGGUACCGUAAGAAUAAGCACCGGCUAACUACGUGCCAGCCGCCGCCGUAACAC